rnacentral:rRNA from 1 species
AUUGAACGCUGGCGGCAGGCCUAACACAUGCAAGUCGAGCGGCAGCGGAAAGUAGCUUGCUACUUUGCCGGCGAGCGGCGGACGGGUGAGUAAUGUCUGGGAAACUGCCUGAUGGAGGGGGAUAACUACUGGAAACGGUAGCUAAUACCGCAUAACGUCGCAAGACCAAAGAGGGGGACCUUCGGGCCUCUUGCCAUCAGAUGUGCCCAGAUGGGAUUAGCUAGUAGGUGGGGUAACGGCUCACCUAGGCGACGAUCCCUAGCUGGUCUGAGAGGAGGACCAGCCACACUGGAACUGAGACACGGUCCAGACUCCUACGGGAGGCAGCAGUGGGGAAUAUUGCACAAUGGGCGCAAGCCUGAUGCAGCCAUGCCGCGUGUAUGAAGAAGGCCUUCGGGUUGUAAAGUACUUUCAGCGGGGAGGAAGGUGCUGAGGUUAAUAACCUCAGCAAUUGACGUUACCCGCAGAAGAAGCACCGGCUAACUCCGUGCCAGCCGCCGCAGUAAAAC